GAACCCACCCUUCCUUUCCCAGGAAGGGUGACACUAAAUUGCGAGCUUGAUACAUACGAUACGAUACCAUGUUGCCCACACGUAACUAGUUAAUUUCACCUACAGCUGUACUAGUCUCAUAAUCCCUUCUCGAACAUUCCACAUGGAGGACGGCCACAAUCAGCCCUCGCCGGCCGAAGAGAAUGAUGACAGCAGUUCCAGAGAAGAUGUCGGAAAGAUGCUUUACGGAUGUGUACAUUAUCGACGACGGUGUAAGCUACGAGCCCCUUGUUGCAAUGAAAUUUUCACUUGCCGUCACUGCCACAACGAUGCCAAGAGCGCUUUGAGCAAUCCCAAGGAACGUCAUGAACUUGUGCGCCACGAUGUUAAGCAAGUUGUAUGUGCUGUAUGCGACACUGAACAACAGGUUGCUGGGAUCUGUUCAGAGUGUGGUGUCAAAUUCGGGGAGUACUAUUGUGAAAUUUGUAGAUUUUACGAUGACGAUAGAACGAAGAGGCAAUUUCACUGUGAUGACUGUGGAAUUUGCAGGGUGGGUGGUCGAGGGAACUUCUUCCACUGCGGGAGGUGUGGAUCCUGCUAUUCAGUGGAUCUACGAGAUAAUCACUUAUGUGUGGAGAACUCAAUGAAGAACCAUUGUCCCAUCUGUUAUGAGUUUCUUUUUGACUCAGUUAAAGGCACCACAAUUAUGAAGUGUGGACAUACAAUGCAUAUGGAAUGCUACACUGAGAUGGUCCAUCAGAACCAGUAUCGCUGCCCUAUAUGCUCUAAGUCAGUUCUCAACAUGUCCAGAACUUGGGAAAGAUUAGACCUGGAGAUUGAAGCUACAGCCAUGCCUGAAGAAUAUCGUUAUGAGCCACCAAGCUGUGGAGUGGGAUCACAGAUACCCUUUUUUACUUUUCUCAAAUUUUCUUCUCUUGCUUAUACCGUAGUUGUUUCCCCCUUUUGACUGGCUUGGGGGGAUGGUAUUUCAAUGGAAUGGACUAAUUAGCAGGAAGGAGGGGUUUGAUGGUUUGGCCUGAAUCGUUGCUGGUGGAUGAUGGUAGGGAGUGGAGGGAUCUGAGGUUCCAAUUCUCUGCAAUGACUGCAAUCGUACUGGUAAAGCAUUUUUUCACAUCCUUGGCCACAAAUGCAAUCAUUGUAAUUCAUAUAACACCCGCAUGAUUGGUACGGGCGAAGAUCCCCAAUGACAUGGCUUGUGCA